CACUGCAGUCGAACGGUAACAGGAAGCACUUGCUGCUUCCUGACGAGUGGCGGACGGGUGAGUAAUGUCUGGGAAACUGCCUGAUGGAGGGGGAUAACUACUGGAAACGGUAGCUAAUACCGCAUAACGUCGCAAGACCAAAGAGGGGGACCUUCGGGCCUCUUGCCAUCGGAUGUGCCCAGAUGGGAUUAGCUAGUAGGUGGGGUAACGGCUCACCUAGGCGACGAUCCCUAGCUGGUCUGAGAGGAUGACCAGCCACACUGGAACUGAGACACGGUCCAGACUCCUACGGGAGGCAGCAGUGGGGAAUAUUGCACAAUGGGCGCAAGCCUGAUGCAGCCAUGCCGCGUGUAUGAAGAAGGCCUUCGGGUUGUAAAGUACUUUCAGCGGGGAGGAAGGCGAUAAGGUUAAUAACCUUGUCGAUUGACGUUACCCGCAGAAGAAGCACCGGCUAACUCCGUGCCAGCAGCCGCGGUAAUACGGAGGGUGCAAGCGUUAAUCGGAAUUACUGGGCGUAAAGCGCACGCAGGCGGUCUGUCAAGUCGGAUGUGAAAUCCCCGGGCUCAACCUGGGAACUGCAUUCGAAACUGGCAGGCUAGAGUCUUGUAGAGGGGGGUAGAAUUCCAGGUGUAGCGGUGAAAUGCGUAGAGAUCUGGAAGGAAUACCCGGUGGCGAAGGCGGGCCCCCUGGACAAA
rnacentral:rRNA from 1 species